GAUGAACGCUGGCGGCGUGCCUAAUAUAUGCAAGGCGAGCGAACGGACCAGCAGCUUGCUCCUCUGACGUUAGCUGCAGACGUGUGAGUAACACGUGGAUAAACUACCUAUAAGACUCGGCUUACUUCGGGAAACCGGAUCUAAUGCCGUAUAAUAUAUUCAACUGCAUGGUUCAAUAGUGCAAGGCUGUCUUGCUAUCACUUAUCGCUGAAGCCGCGCCGCAUUAGCUACUUGGUACGGUAACGGCAUACCAAGGCAACGAUGCGUAGCCGCCCUGAGAGCGUGAUCGGCCACACUGGAACCGAGACCCGGUCCAGACUCCUACGGGAGGCACACGUAGGGAAUCUACCGCAAUGCGCGACAGCUUGACGGAGCACCCCCGCGUGAGUGAUGAAGCUCUUCGCAUCGUAAAACUCCGUUCUUCGGGAAGAUCAAAUGUGUAACUAACUAUGCACGUUCCGACGGUACCUAAUAAGAACGCAACGGCUAAACACGUG
rnacentral:rRNA from 1 species